rnacentral:lncRNA from 1 species
GGAAAGGCUCCUGGGAGGUCUGCGGAAGCAGGGUCAGGGCGACAGGGGGGCUCCCACACGCACCCGUCCGUGCGUGGUGCACCCGGUCAGCGGGAGGGGAGAGAGCGAGCCGGAGAGAGCGUGAUCGCACGGAGCCGCUGGGCCCGCGGGACACACAGGAACUGCCGCAGGGUUCCUGUUUCCCGGUGCUUCUCCAGGGGAAGGCAGCGGCGGCACCGGACCGUGGAGGGCACUGGGCCUGCGCUGUGAGGCGUGGCAGGGCAUCGAGCCUGAACCUGGGGCGGCGCCACCAGAGGCUCCUAGCCUGAAUGAUAGAUCAGUGAACACAAACUACCGUACAACAUCAGAGAUACGGCAUCGUGGCAUGCAUGAAUCAAAUAUAUCUGGGUUCAUUUUCUUGAAGAGUAAAAUUUUUAGAAUGCACUGGAGGCAAUUAUCACUGAAAAUCUUCUGC